rnacentral:rRNA from 1 species
CCUACGGGGGGCAGCAGUAGGGAAUCUUCCACAAUGGGCGAAAGCCUGAUGGAGCAACGCCGCGUGGGUGAAGAAGGUCUUCGGAUCGUAAAACCCUGUUGUUAGAGAAGAAAGUGCGUGAGAGUAACUGUUCACGUUUCGACGGUAUCUAACCAGAAAGCCACGGCUAACUACGUGCCAGCAGCCGCGGUAAUACGUAGGUGGCAAGCGUUAUCCGGGUUUUGUGGGCGUAAAGGGAACGCAGGCGGUCUUUUAAGUCUGAUGGGAAAGCCUUCGGCUUAACCGGAGUAGUGCAUUGGAAACUGGGAGACUUGAGUGCAGAAGAGGAGAGUGGAACUCCAUGUGUAGCGGUGAAAUGCGUAGAUAUAUGGAAGAACACCAGUGGCGAAAGCGGCUCUCUGGUCUGUAACUGACGCUGAGGUUCGAAAGCGUGGGUAGCAAACAGGAUUAGAUACCCGUGUAGUC